rnacentral:lncRNA from 1 species
UAACUUAGAGAAAAAAAGUUGAUUGUUUUAGAAAAAGAAAUUGAUAAAGAAAAUAUUUUUUGAGGUUUAUGCAAAAAAAUAGCUUUUUGACAACUUAGUAAGGUAUUUAACUAGUUCUAAGCAAGCUAAAGUCAAAUAGCACGAAAAGGGGAAAGGGGAGAAUGAGAAGACUUAGGCUCGUAAGCCCAAAUCCAUCGAUCUUGUCCUAAUUUAAUUGGGCUUUGGCCCACCUGCACCUAUCCUAAUCUAUUCAUUUGGGCUUUCGGCCCGUCAUCACCUAUCUUAAUCUAAAUAUUGGGUUUUUGGCCCAUAACCUCUCCUAAACUAUAUUUUUGGACCAUUUGGCCCAAAAUUUGCUUCACUUAUAUUAGUUUACAACUUUGGCUUUGAGGCCCAAAUGAACAAAGAGAUAAGUAACUAAAUAAAUAAAUAAAUGAAAUCUGGAAAACAAAAUGAAUAAAAUUGAUACUUUAGAGUCUCUUAGCAACUUUGUCAAUAGGUUUCGACCUAUUUCUUCUUCUCCCAGCUUUUUGUAUCCAUGCGCGAUGUAAUUUGACUUUGGAAUUUCUUUCGCUCUUGACUCGAAAGAUGGGCCUCAUUGGCCCAUGAGGAGUAUGCAAAAGGAUAAGAGUCCAUGUAGGACUUAAAUGAUUUCCAUGUAAAGAAAGAAAAAUAAAGCACAUUAAAACAUAAUCGACAAAAGGAAGGGAGGGAGGAAGGGUAAAAGAAGUCAACACAUGAUCAACCAAAGUGGAAAAACUAAAGUAGUUAAUACAUGAUCAACCAAACAAGGAAAUAAAAUAUAUAAAAAAAAUUAAUACAUGGUUAACUACAUAAACAAAGUAACAGGGAUCCCAACAAAUAGUCAAAAGCCCCUUGGACGUAAUAAGACAUAUUCAUAUCAAUUAAACAAAGAAGGAACAUAUGCAAAAAGGUUGGAUCUUACAUUUUAGCUCAUCCAAUAUUUCUCCAAAAUGGUAAAAAGCAGAUUCAAGAACAUAAAGGCAAAGCAUGUACAAUCUUUCUAACUAACUUGGAACAAUCAUUUAGAUAUAUGGAGAUAAGAUGAUAACACACUUUAAUCAAAAUGAAACAUCAUAGAGACUUAAUAUAUAUAUAUAUAUAUAUAUAUAUAUAAGCAACAACGUGUGUCGAUAAAGCAAAUGAUUUUCAUGCAACGAAAGAAAAAUAAAUCACAUUAAUACAUAAUCGACAAAAGGAAGGGAGGAAAAACUAAAGUAGUUAAUACAUGAUCAACCAAAGAAGAAAGAAAAUAUGAAGAAAAUUAAUACAUGGUUAACUACAUAAACGAAGUAACAAGGAUCCUAACAAAUAGUCAAAAGCCGAUUGGACGUAAUAAGACAUAGUCAUAUAAAUUAAACAAAGGGCCAUAUACAAAAAGGUUGGAUCUUACAUUUCAGCUAAUCCAAUAUUUCUCAAUGGUAAAAAGCAUAUUCAAGAACAUAAAGGCAAAACAUGUAUCAUCUUCCUAACUAACUUGGAACAAUCAUUUAGAUAUGUGGAGAUAAGAUGAUAACAUACUUCAAUCUACUUGAAACAUCAUAGAAACUUAAUAUAUAUAUAAGAAACAACGUGUGUUGAUAAGGAGACUUAUAAAGGAAAGAACCACUUAGUUACUAUACAAGAUGACUAUGGCGAAGACAUAUCAGCUAACUGUUAGUAAUACUCUUACAACAUCAGCACAUUAUCGAGAAAGGGACUCAAUAUACCGAAUUAAUAUCGAACACUUCAAGCAAUCAUGUUAUACUUCUAACUAAACAGAUUAAAGAAGUAAAACACUAGACAUGAGUAGGAUUUUAAUUUGUAAGGAAAACAUAGUGUUAUACUAGGCAAAGACUUCAAGUUACAUCAAACAUAGCACAUCUGAAAAAUGCGACUUUUGACUUACAGUAAUGAGAAACCAGUUUGUACUAAAAAUUUAAGCACAUUAGGACCUUUUACCACAUACGAAUUCCUAAAAAACGACCACAAUAACAAGAAAAAAGACAAAAAACCAAAGUAGGGGAAACUAAAAAUUUUACAAAACUGAAUAGCCCGAGGGAAAUUACAUAUCUACUACAUUCAAACAUGUUUAGACGAUUUUACAUAACAAAAUAGUGUUGGUUAAGUGAAAAAAAUGCAUAAAACACAGGAUUUUGGGUCGUUUAGGGCCUAUUCUAUCCUUUUCUCCACAAGUCAUUAAACUGAAACAUCAAAAUAUCCUAGAGUAAUUCUAAGUUCAUUUCUCCCAUUUGACAUUUAGAGACGAAGAAUGUUUAGAAAACAGUUGCUAUCAACCCAAAGACAACAAAGAAACUAGAAUGUUGAUUAAAUGUAAAGAAACUAUUCUAAGCUACAACCAUUAAAGUCAGGUUUACAGACGAACAAAUAAAAUAAAAGAAAUUCAAGAUAAAAAGAGACAACCAAACUUAAAGCUAUGACAAUGCUCGACUAAAGCAAAACAGGCAGAUAUUAGAUUAAAAGAAGAAAAUGUGUCAAAUUUAGAGAUGACUAUCAUGCUAAAAAUAAAAGACAAUGACCACAGAUUUUAUGCCAAAGAAAACAUCAUCUAAAGCAAAAAGUGAACUUAAAGACUAACUAGAAGUCGUCAAAUCGAGAACGAAAGGAACAUCAUCUCAAACAACAAUCGCAAUCCCUUCACGAUACCCUACGACUCUCAAGGUCUCUACAGUAAACAAUUCCCAGCAUACAAUACACUAAUCAAAACUACUAUGACUACAACUAUUACAACACGACAAUACGAGAAAAGAAGAAUCGAAGACUAACCAUUUCUUGGGCAGCAAAAUGAGACCUCCAUCUUUAUCGAAGUCCGCCACCACCUAAACACGUCGCCAUCAACUCGAGAACUUCGAUUAGAUAUCGAAUUUCAAGAAAAAAAAUUUUACUAGCAGAAUGGACUACUUUUGCUCAAGAUUUUUUUCCCACCCUCAAGGCUUACCAUUUCAACUCAAGAAUGAGCUAUUUAUAGCAAACAAAAUGGGGCAAUUUUUUGAUCUCCCACCGAUAUGGGAGCAAAAAAUUGGGGGUAAUUUUGGAAUUCUCAAUAGAAAUUUUUGAAUUUUGAAAUAGGAUAAGAGAUGAGCUAUAUGAAAUCGUACGGAUGCUGAGAUGGAUUUGAUUUCGUACGUUAUUGUUGAAGUUGUUUGUACGAGUUUGCUGACUGGAAUAGGAUCGGGUCAUCGGGGUUUUUUGGAGUUGUUGACAUUGUUGGGUUACUGUUGCUCAGCUAUUUGUCGUUUCUGCUGAAAUUGUUGUGAUGUUGAUAGCGGUUGGACGCUAUGGGAUUCGCAGGUUAGUAAUUUUGUUUGGUUGUUGUUGUCGCGUAUUAUUGUUGUACUGUUGUUGCGAGUGUUCUGAAGUUGAAGAAGAAAAAGAACGGGUUGGGUCUUGGAUAUUUAGGCUGCUAGUUCGGCUGAUUGGAGUGGGAUGUUAGAGUGUUGUUGAGCCUGGUUGGGUCAGCCGUGGCAUAGUUAAAUUGGUAGAUUUAGGUGAGUUUUGGGGUUAUUUAAAAAAUAAUCC